CAAAACUCCAGACGACGUAAUGGUGAAGGUUUCCUUGAACAGCAAAAACAUUAAGGUUUCUGAAGAACAAGUUGGCUUAGAGGUGAUGAUCCUGGGCAGACCUAAACUCCAGACGACGUAAUGGUGAAGGUUUCCUUGAACAGCAAAAAACAUUAAGG